AUAUGUCAUAUGUUUAUAGCAUAACUACUUUAGCUAUAACUCCUUUAGCUACUUCUCCCCCUUUUUAGCCAAAAGAGACCAAAGAGACCAAUGAGACAAAAUAAAUGUCUAUUAGUCAAACAGAAUGUCACACAAAAUGUCAAAGCAUAUUGUUAGGUGUUACAGAUCCAUAAACAUACACAGCUUUACAAGCAGAGAUAAAAAUC
rnacentral:lncRNA from 1 species